UAUAAGUGUAACCAUAAGUUUCCGCGCCCAACUUUAAUCGUUCGUCUUAUUUGAAAGUUUUUUAUAAUUAGUAUUUUUAUUGUUAUGAGAUGAUAAAAUAUAAAUAGUACUUUACUCGUGACUUAUGUUAUUAAAUUUUUUCAAAAAAUUUUCAAAUAAGACGGACUGUCAAAGUUGGGCGCGUAAAACCAUGACUGCACUUAUA
rfam:Oryza barthii chromosome 12, whole genome shotgun sequence.